UGCCACCAGGAAGCCCUCAGAUGGGAGAGUGCAGCCAAAAUCAAAGAGGAGAAAAGUCAAAUGUGUUCAUAGAAAGCAGCUCCAAGUGAGUGACAUUAGUCCAAAUUGAUUUAGGAAAAAGCUGAGGUCACAGCUAUUUUGGAGUAGAACUCUCAAGAAAGGGAGAAAGAAGGAACACAGACCUUACAUGUGGGAAGAAACAUCAAGAAAUGGAGAAAGAUUUGAACUGAGUUUUGAAUGGCUCUGUAGUUUGUAUUGUUUCUACUAAGUUUCCUCCUUUUGACCUAGAUUCAACAGGGCAGCCCCAGGCUAGGCGUGUGGGCAGAAUCUGUGCCAGCUGCAGUCUGGAGCUACAAGCCUAAAGUCUUGGAGUCCGUCCCAGAAUGAGAGCUGAGAGUUCAGAACAGGGUCUGUGGGUCUUUUAGAAUCCUGAGCUCUCUCCACUUCCUUUAGGAAGCCUUCUCUGAUGCCCUCUGGCUGGGAGAGGCCAACACUACUAGGCCCCUAACACAUCAUUCCACCCUCCACAAAAAUGGGCUGUUCCUGCAGGAUUCGUCUUGGAGUUUGGCCAAGACGGGGCUGGCCUGAGGAAUAGUGUCUUCGAAGGAUUUCAAAUGCAAUUGAAGUGGAUCGUCUGUGAAGAUAAUUUAAACUUGCUGGGGUACUGUAGAAUCUAUGAGUCUGUCUCCUUUCCUCCAUUAUUGUUUAAUUGCGCCAACCACUUCCCUAUUCCAAGAGCUAGCCACAAAUUGUUCAGUCCUCAGGGACCCGAGUGGAGUGGCUCCUCUGUGGCUCAGGCCUGGUCUUCCCUGGAGAUGGCGCUGCAGCUAAAGCAUCUUAAAGACGUCCUGGGCUCUUGCAGGAUGUGGAGUUGGCAGAGCAGCUGGAGACAACAAGCAGCCAGGAUUGAAAAUACCCAUCUUUCUGGAGAUCUCAUCUGUAAACUAAGGAUGUUCCCUUCCUGGUCCUUUGCCAACAUCUCCUUCUUCCAGCC
rnacentral:lncRNA from 1 species